rnacentral:rRNA from 1 species
UACCAGCUCUCCGAGUGGUAGGGAUGAUUAUUGGGCUUAAAGCGUCCGUAGCCGGCUUAGCAAGUCUCCUGUUAAAUUCAGCGACCUAAUCGUUGAGCCGCGGGAGAUACUACUAGGCUAGGAGGCGGGAGAGGUCAACGGUACUUCCGGGGUAGGGGUGAAAUCCUAUAAUCCCGGGAGGACCACCAGUGGCGAAGGCUGUUGACUAGAACGCGCUCGACGGUGAGGGACGAAAGCUGGGGGAGCGAACCGGAUUAGAUACCCGGGUAGUCCCAGCUGUAAACGAUGCGAGCUAGGUGUUGGGGUGGCUACGUGCCACUUCAGUGCCGCAGGGAAGCCAUUAAGCUCGCCGCCUGGGGAGUACGGCCGCAAGGCUGAAACUUAAAGGAAUUGGCUGGGGAGCACCACAAGGCGUGAAGCUUGCGGUUC